UACAAAUUAUAUAAAUAAAUUUUAUUAGUAAAUAAUUAAAUUAAUUAAAAUUAAAAUAUAAUUUUAUUUUAAAAGUAAAAUUUUUAAAAUAAAUAUUAGUUNAUAAAAAUUUUAUUGAAGUUAUAAAAAUUUUAUUAUAAACUAGGAUUAGAUACCCUAUUAUUAAAAUAAUAAAAUAAAAUACUAAGGUAGUAAUAGUUAUAAUCUUUAAACUUAAAAAAUUUGGCGGNAUUUUAGUCUAUUUAGAGGAACCUGUUCUUUAAUCGANAGUCCACGUUAAAUUUAACUAAUUUUAUUUAAAAUUUGUAUAUCGUCGUUAUCAGAAUAUUUUAUAAGAAAUUUAAUAUUCAAUAAUUUUAAUUAAAAUUAAUUUCAGAUCAAGGUGCAGUUUAUAAAUUAGUAGAAAUGGGUUACAAUAAAAUUAUUUAUUAUGAAUUAUAUUUUGAAAUAAUAAUAUGAAGGUGGAUUUAAUAGUAAAUUUAUUUAAAUAAAUAAAUUGAUUUUAGCUCUAAAAUAUGUACAUAUCGCCCGUCGCUC
rnacentral:rRNA from 1 species